UACAGAGGGUGCGAGCGUUAAUCGGAGUUACUGGGCGUAAAGGGCGCGUAGGCGGUAAGAUGUGUGUGAUGUGAAAGCCCUGGGCUUAACCUAGGAAGUGCAUCGCAAACUAUCUAACUAGGGUAUAUGAGAGGGUGGCGGAAUUUCCGGUGUAGCGGUGAAAUGUGUAGAGAUCGGAAGGAACGUCAAUGGCGAAGGCAGCCACCUGGCAUAAUACUGACGCUGAGGCGCGAAAGCGUGGGGAGCGAACAGG
rnacentral:rRNA from 1 species